UUCGCUUUCGAUUUACUAAUUUUUGGUUUAUUGACUUUGUUUAGCUUACAUCGUAGUUUAUUGUAUCGGUUGUAUCAUUUUUCGCAUGUCUGACACAAAUUAUCACGUUUAAGAUGAUCCCCCGUCUACGAUCGUAUCAGGUUCAUGAUUGUGAUUCAGUCAUCGGGAUGGUUUGAUCCGGAUCGGAAGCAAAAUAUUUGCGCAGAAGUUUUCAAUAUAUUUUGAUAAUAAGUUCUUUAGAAGCUUAGUUCUUGCAAGGCUGAAUACUAUUUAUACACCUGGUAAAUUGUGGAGAAUGUGUUAAACGAUCGUCACAUACCGGUUAUCGGCGAUACUCAUAGUUGGAAAACCCUACUAAGCAAUCAUGAACUCGUUUAUAGUAAUUCUAGUGAUUUCGACCGGCUACUUACUGAUUGUUACGUCGGUCCACGGGCAAGUCGAUAAAGAAUCCGACAACGAUCUGGUUGCCGAUGAAACUACAAUCAUUUUCCGUCCCUUGUUCGUGUACAAGAUGCAGCAGGCCAAAAAGCUGGAACGCCAGAAGAUUCGCGAGUGGCAAAGGCUUCACCCUAAUGAAAACUAUUAUUACCAACAAAAGUAUCCAAAUACCAUUCAAGGUUUUAUUUUUAAGUAGACUAAGUGUUUAUCAAAUAGACUAAUAUUUAUAUCUA